GGCUGCGGAGAGAGCUGGGCCCGGGGACUCGACCAACAGGGCCUCCCGGAGGCGAGGAGGGAGGGCGGCAGACGACAGAAAGCUGGGCUUUCUUUGUUUUGUUUGUGUGGGCAGGGCUAGGCCCUGAAUACGCCUACGUCUGCACUCUGAGGUCAGCUGCCCAGCGAGGUAACAGCUGGCACCUGUGUGUGAAAUGCAGCGUGCAUUAGCGGCAUCAUUACUUAGCAUUAGAGCAUUACAAAGAUAAUUAGAGGAGCAGGGGACAGAAGGAACUGAAACCGCAGCCUCCCUGGCUUCUCAAACGCCCAGGUUACAAGUGUAAUUUCAAGGAUUUAGAGGGCCGCCUUGCACAGAGUAGCUGGUCUGUGACUUCAAGAGAACUCCAAAGAGACCCUGCGACCAAGGGCAGUGCUGGUAGAGGAGAGAGGCUUCUUUCCAGGCCUCGUCUUGGCUCGAGAGCUAAAUUAAGGUCACAGGUAAUGGGUCAGAGAUCUUUGUACUAGUUUCUAAUAUCCAAAUUAAUUCCACCUGGAACACCAGAAAUUAUUAUUAUUUUUUAUUGCAUUUGGUGUCUGAUAAUUGCCUCAACAGACAGCAGUUGCUAAGUUUGUACGUGUGGGACCGUGUGGUAGGAUCUUCGGCUCAGGCCUUAGAGCAGCCUUAUUGAGUCACGUGAUAAAAGAGAGCGCAGGCUCCCGAAGUCUGGGAAAGUGCGACUACGGAUUUCUUCGCAUUUGUUUCCAUUUUUUUCCCAUCUGAUUAUUUUUCGUUUGCAGCACUAGAGUUGAACCUAGGGUGGGGCCUAAAUUCUACCCCUGAGCCACAUCCCCAGCCCUGCUACCUGGUCUAGUCAAGACCUCAGCUGCUUCUGUCUGCUGCCUGGAAGUUGAGGAAAUGUCACUAACAGGACAGCAAGGGGAAAAGGCCGGGAUGUGGCUCAGUGGUAAAGCACAUGCCUAACAAACACAAGGACCUGGUUUCAUCCCCAGCAUUUCGAGAAAAAGGAGGAAGCAGAGGAGGAGGAACGGAGAGUGAACACAUCCUGUGAACCAUUUCAGCUCAUAUCAAGACAGGGAAUCCAGAUCUACCUGACUGACACAGGCGCAUCUACUCCAGCCACACAGUGUGGACAGGAGGCACGCAUCUGCCAUUACCUGCAGAACCAGGCAGAAAAUGCUUUCCGUAGAGCACAGGAGCCCUCGGAAGCCACAGAUGCAGGAAGCUGCUUGCUUCCCUCUGAAUGUCGGCAUCACUUGUGAGCAGUGCCACAGAGGAGAAGGAACCAGAGGAAAAUACAGGAAUUGAUUCACACAGAAUACAAACCACCAACCCCAGGAGGGAGGGGCUUUCCUGAAAUAUAUGAGUGUCUCUGGUUUCACAUGACGCUAUGUAUGGUUUAUCCUUCACGAACCACAGGAGGCUGAAAUGGUCAUUUCCUGGCCCUCCAAAGGUGGUUUUCCAGUGAGGACUGCAUUCUGACUAAUCAAUGUUGCUUUUCCCCCCUGUCUGAGUCUUUCUGCUUCACACAGACACAAAGCUGACUUAUGCUGGGGGUGGGGGUGGGGGCAAUGAAAAGGUGGCUGCAGAGAGCAACUUCAAGUUGGUCUUGGUAUCAAUCAUCUCUGCGAUUGUGAGAAUUUAGGUCGCAAAGCCUCCCCACACAGCCAGUCUGGACAAGCAUUCUCAGUGUAUUGUUAAGUGUAAAGGAGAUAGAUUCUUAAGUAUACUCAGUGUCCUAAGAAGUUCAUAAUACACACACUUGAUGGGGACAGCACUAAGUAGAGAGUGUAUGUUGUUUCCGUUUCCAAUUCUCUUUUCCUCAGUUGGCUUACUUUCUUACACACCCAAUGGCAUUUGUGUCGGGGGAGGUUUCCAAUCUUGAGACCUCCCAACAUGUCUUUGCUGCUCUUGGAGGCUGACAGUUCAGCAGAGGUAGGCAAAGCAGAAUUUCAGUUUGCUUUGCUGUCUAAGAUACAUCGAUCAUUUAUUUAGGGCUGGAGAGUUGGUUCAGCAGUCAAGAGCACUCGUUGCUCUGGCAGAAGACCCAUUUCCAUCCCCAGCACCCACAUGGUGACUCACAACCAUCCAUUUCCAGUGUCAGGGGAUCCAGCACCCUCUUCUGACCUCCUCAGAAACAGGCUAUAGACUCACUUCCCCUGAGAGACCAGACCAACAGGCCGAACAGCCCAGAUGAUACCCGAAGUUUCUCUCCGUCUGAAGUCAGCCAACCAACAAACUGAAGGAAGCCCAGGGGGAAAGUGCUCACUUCUCCCCAUGCGCAUACCUGACUUGUAACACACCACUGAUAUUUGGUUUUGAUUAAUUGUGUUAAUGAAGUUUACAGCACAAAGGCCUGAUAUUUGUUAUAUAAUUAAUGAAAAAAGCAGUCUUUUUUUUUUUCAAAUAUAACCUGAAAAUAGAUACCCUAAGUCAAAGUUUCUAAGGAUUUUUUUUCUCCAGAAAUAAGUGUCUAAAGAAGAAUAGUUAUGGAUGUACCUGGUCCCAGCAGGACAAGAAGCCUGGACUAUUUUCUGACAGAAGUGAAGUUUACACUGUGCUUAUGACUAGGAGAGAUGCUCACCAGGGGAGUCCGGUGUCUUAGGAAGUUGAGGAAUGAAGAGAUGCCUGCAUGAAUAUGGUACCACUCAGAAAAUCAGCAAAUUCAGCCCCGCAUGAUUCCUUCAUGGAGAAUAUUUGUUCACUAUCCAUGGGAUACUUUCUUCAUUGCUGGAAGGAAAGCCAGGCAUGGUGUGGUCACAUCAAAUGACCUGGUGACAAUUAACCCACAUUUUCAGAGAGCAUUCUGGUCCCGUCUAGGCCGGCAUUUGCCUCAGAACUUUCCUCAUCAGCGGGAGUCACUCAGGUGGUCCUUCAAUCUACCUGAAGGCCUUAGACAAGUAAUGUAAACCCUGGGAGAAUGGGGCUCAUAACGAGAUAAGUAACAAAACGCCGCAAGCCUAUUAGAGGGGAAAAUUGGAAAGGUUGCAGCCAAUUAUUAAUAAGUCACAAGAACAUGACAUGUCUAGAGAGUGCCUGGAUGAUAGAGGAGACAUCUCCUGUGUGACGAUCAGAGGUGGCUACCUGCCGCUAGCCUUAGGGACAAUUCCAGCCAUGGUCCAUGUUUGAUAGUCCACAGAGACAGGGAAAAAAAACAGUCAAAACUAGAAUGAAUGAAAACAGGAUUUAAAAAAAAAAUUAUUUUAAAAAAACUUGCAUUUUUUUUUACCUUAUCUUUCUUGCAGACAAAUUAAAUUCUUUAUUUUAGCUUGAAUCCAUCAACCUAGGUCAGGAAGAAAAUAAUAAAAUGAUCAUCUCAUUUAAGGCACCAGAAGGCUCCUCGGGAAGUGAAGCCACCCAUUCCUAAUGGAGAGGCGAGGAUUUUGGGUGCGGUGGUGCAUGGCUGUCAACGUAAGCCUCCGAAGGCUAAGGCGGGACACUGUGUCCAGCCUACCAGAGCUGAGUGAGUGACAAAAGGCUGGACCUAACAAGAGGCAGCAGGUCCCAGGGUGCGGCAUGUAAGGAGGCCUCAAGCUCAGGCUCCUGCUAGUACAGGCACUUGGGAAGGAAGGCCUCCUCAAAUUUGAUGCUAACCUCGCUCUACCUCAGCAUGCUAGUUCAGAUGCAGAUAAAAUAAAGACUCCUUUACUAAUCAAAAUUAAUUAAAGAAGUACUGGGCUUCCCAUUCUUGUUAUAGUUUAGAUAUUUUAUAUUAUAUGUAACAUAUAUAUUUACAUGUUGUAUGGCAAGUCCCCUGAAUUAUAACACCCUGACUACAUUGAAGCAGUCAGGCAUCUAAACCACAGCACUUCAAGAACAGGCUCUCAGCUGGGCGUGGUGGCAUACACCUUUAAU